AAGUCGUAACAAGGUUUCCGUAGGCGAACCUGCGGAAGGAUCAUUAAAAUGUGAUUGGUUAUACAUUUCAUGUAUCAACUGCAAUUAAGCCCAUUCCGAGUAGCUUGCCCUGUUAGCUUUCCAUGGGGCCUUGACCUAUGGUCACUUCUUGUGAUGUGAAAUCCCAAGAGAGUCCCCCAUGGGAGGUAAUCAUUAAAUUCAUGUUAUUCCAAUGUUUUCUGUCUGAACUGUUUAUAACAAAUGUUAAAA
rnacentral:misc_RNA from 1 species